CCUACGGGCGGCAGCAGUGGGGAAUAUUGCGCAAUGGGGGAAACCCUGACGCAGCAACGCCGCGUGAGUGAGGAAGUAUCUCGGUAUGUAAAGCUCUAUCAGCGGGGAAGAAGGAAGACGGUACCCGACUAAGAAGCCCCGGCUAACUACGUGCCAGCAGCCGCGGUAAUACGUAGGAUCCGAGCGUUAUCCGGAUUUAUUGGGUGUAAAGGGCGUGCAGCCGGAGAGACAAGUCAGAUGUGAAAUCCACGGGCUCAACCCGUGAACUGCAUUUGAAACUGUUUCCCUUGAGUGUCGGAGAGGUAAUCGGAAUUCCUUGUGUAGCGGUGAAAUGCGUAGAUAUAAGGAAGAACACCAGUGGCGAAGGCGGAUUACUGGACGAUAACUGACGGUGAGGCGCGAAAGCGUGGGGAGCAAACAGGAUUAGAUACCCUUGUAGUC
rnacentral:rRNA from 1 species